UUUGGUGUGUCUCCCAGGUGGCUUGUGGCAAACUUUAAACAACACUUUUUAUGGAUAUCUUUAAGAAAUGGCUUUCUUCUUGCCACUCUUCCAUAAAGGCCAGAUUUAUGCAAUAUACGACUGAUUGUUGUCCUAUGGACAGAGUCUCCCACCUCAGCUGUAGAUCUCUGCAGUUCAUCCAGAGUGAUUAUGGGCCUCUUGGCUGCAUCUCUGAUCAGUCUUCUACUUGUAUGAGCUGAACGUUUAGAGGGAAGGCCAGGUCUUGGUAGAUUUGCAGUGGUCUGAUACUCCUUCCAUUUCAAUAUUAUCGCUUGCACAGUGCUCCUUGGGAUGUUUAAAGCUUGGGAAAUCUUUUUGUAUCCAAAUCCGGCUUUAAACUUCUUCACAACAGUAUCCCGGACCUGCCUGGUGUGUUCCUUGUUCUUCAUGAUGCUCUCUGCGCUUUUAACGGACCUCUGAGACAAUCACAGUGCAGGUGCAUUUAUACGGAGACUUGAUUACACACAGGUGGAUUGUAUUUAUCAUCAUUAGUCAUUUAGGUCAACAUUGGAUCAUUCAGAGAUCCUCACUGAACUUCUGGAGAGAGUUUUCUGCACUGAAAGUAAAGGGGCUGAAUAAUUUUGCACGCCCAAUUUUUCAGUUUUUGAUUUGUUAAAAAAGUUUGAAAUAUCCAAUAAAUGUCGUUCCACUUCA